rnacentral:tRNA from 2 species
GGAGAUGUACCCAAGUGGCUGAAGGGUCCGCACUCGAAAUGCGGUAGGCCGGGUAACCGGUGCGAGGGUUCAAAUCCCUCCAUCUCCG